UCCAGACUCCUACGGGAGGCAGCAGUGGGGGAUAUUGGACAAUGGGGGAAACCCUGAUCCGGCGACGCCGCGUGAGUGAAGAAGUAUUUCGGUAUGUAAAGCUCUGUCAGCAGGGAAGAAAGAAAUGACGGUACCUGACCAAGAAGCCCCGGCCAACUACGUGCCAGCAGCCGCGGUAAUACGUAGGGGGCAAGCGUUAUCCGGAUUUACUGGGUGUAAAGGGAGCGUAGACGGCCAGACAAGUCUGAAGUGAAAAUCCAGCGCUUAACGUUGGAAGUGCUUUGGAAACUGCCGGGCUAGAGUGCAGGAGGGGCAGGCGGAAUUCCUAGUGUAGCGGUGAAAUGCGUAGAUAUUAGGAGGAACACCAGUGGCGAAGGCGGCUUACUGGACAGUAACUGACGUUGAGGCUCGAAAGCGUGGGGAGCAAACAGGAUUAGAUACCCUUGUA
rnacentral:rRNA from 1 species